UACGAAGGGGGCUAGCGUUGUUCGGAAUUACUGGGCGUAAAGCGCACGCAGGCGGUCUUGUAAGUUUGACGUGAAAGCUCCCGGCUUAACUGGGAGAGGUCGUUGAAGACUGCAAGACUUGAGGAAAUGAGAGGGGUGUAGAAUUCCCGGUGUAGCGGUGAAAUGCGCAGAUAUCGGGAAGAACACCCGUGGCGAAGGCGGCUCUCUGGGACGGUACUGACGCUGAGACGCGAAAGCGUGGGAGCGAACAGG
rnacentral:rRNA from 1 species